rnacentral:rRNA from 1 species
CUACAGAGGGUGCAAGCGUUAUCCGGAAUCAUUGGGUUUAAAGGGUUCGUAGGCGGGCUAUUAAGUCAGAGGUGAAAUCCCACAGCUUAACUGUGGAACUGCCCUUGAUACUGGUAGUCUUGAGUUAUAUGGAAGUAGAUAGAAUGUGUAGUGUAGCGGUGAAAUGCAUAGAUAUUACACAGAAUACCGAUUGCGAAGGCAGUCUACUACGUAUAUACUGACGCUAAGGGACGAAAGCGUGGGGAGCGAACAGGAUUAGAUACCCCGGUAGUCC